rnacentral:rRNA from 1 species
GACGAACGCUGGCGGCGUGCUUAACACAUGCAAGUCGAACGGAAAGGCCCUGCUUUUGUGGGGUGCUCGAGUGGCGAACGGGUGAGUAACACGUGAGUAACCUGCCCUGGACUUUGGGAUAACUUCAGGAAACUGGGGCUAAUACCGGAUAGGAGCUCCUGCUGCAUGGUGGGGGUUGGAAAGUUUCGGCGGUUGGGGAUGGACUCGCGGCUUAUCAGCUUGUUGGUGGGGUAGUGGCUUACCAAGGCUUUGACGGGUAGCCGGCCUGAGAGGGUGACCGGCCACAUUGGGACUGAGAUACGGCCCAGACUCCUACGUGAGGCAGCAGUGGGGAAUAUUGCACAAUGGGCGGAAGCCUGAUGCAGCAACGCCGCGUGCGGGAUGACGGCCUUCGGGUUGUAAACCGCUUUCGCCUGUGACGAAGCGUGAGUGACGGUAAUGGGUAAAGAAGCACCGGCUAACUACGUG